CCGGAUGAUGAGACCAAGGCGAAUACGAGCCCGGAGCUCUCUGCCCUGUGCCCUCCGGCCCCCCGGGGGGGUGGGAUCUGAAAUCUUGGCGGGAGCCACAUCAGCCACUCGGGCCCCGCUGUAAGGCCAGAUCGAAAGCAGGACCGGCCCCCUCUGCCCCGCGGCUGCUCCCGAGCCUCGGCAGCCGCCCGCAGGAGGGAGGGCCCACAGGGGGCCGGGCCGGGUGGGGGGCUCUGGGCCAGAGUGAGCACACUCCUGGGUCUGACG